AGAUAAAAUACUAAGAAAAGCAUGGUUGCUUAUAAAGCUAGAUGAAUACCUUAGUCAGGUCCAUAAUGAACGAAGACUAACAAAACUAAUAUGGAACAUCAUUUUCUAAAUCAAGAUACAAAAAGAAGGGCAUUUAGAGAAGGAACUAACCAUGAGGGCCCCAUGACAACUGAACAACCAAACGCGUAAUCAGUAUGAAUCCGGCCACCAAAUAUAUCACGUUAUUCCAACCAAAUCACCUGAAUAAAAAAUACCAGGGAACAAUGUAAGCAACAGAAGGGCAAAACGAUGCAUCAUGAUUGGAUAUCCUUAUGCUCAAAAGGGGUUCCAUCUUCCCUCACUUCCAAUCCAUCUUUGUUUUCCCCCUUCUUUAGUUCUGAGAUCUAGAAUCUUCAGUUUCUACCUUUCACUCUAACUAAGUCACCUCUCUCUUUUUUCUCUCUCGGAUUCAAAGCAGCCAAACCAAGUGUAGGCAGUCGCGACUUACCCCGAGUAGUCGAACACAGUGGUGAUCAGUAGGGACUUGGUAGGCUGACAGCCACACAUGUCGGUUCUUUCUUCUCAGUCUCUCUCCCUCUAGCAAGUAACAACUUCUUUUUUUUUUGGUGAAUAUGUAAGAUUAUAAAGUCUAUGGACUACAAAAUUAACUUUCUUGUAGAAAUUAUGUAAAUGAAUAUGUAAGAUUAUAGUCUAUAGACUACAAAAUUAUCUUCUAUGUAGAAAUUAUGUAAAAUUUGGGAGAAAUUUGGCUGAUGCUGGACUACAGAUUAUAUGAGAAACGAAUCAUGCGCAAUGGAGUGAAGUAGGUACAGGCCUACAGCCUACAGAAGGAUGAUAUAGCAAUCAAGGCAGCAACGGAGAUGGUCCGUACCAAACCUAUCUUGGUUCAACUUGGCCCAACAGUAGCUCUCUCUAAAAGCAAUGCGUUGCAGUGGUGUCUCAAGAAGGUGGCUUUGGAGGAGAACACUGAGGAGGCUUCUGAGGAGAAUGAGGAGAAUGACCAGGCGGCUUUGGAGGCUUCUGAGGAGAAUGACCAGGCGGCUUUGGAGAACACUGCUGCGCCUAAGAAGUGAUCAAUUCCAGCAAGGUUGGGUUAUGUAUGAAAGCUAUUAUCAGGCCCCUUUUGUUGUGUGAAACCUAUUAUUAGUAUGACAAUUUAGUAUGUGUGAAAGCUAAGUACUAGAGAAAGGCGAUAUGCAUCAAGCCUUUUGCAAGAAACUCAUGUUAAUGUUGCAAUGCUUAUUUUGAACUCCA